rnacentral:lncRNA from 1 species
UGGCUUGAUGAGCAGUGCCACGUCCGCACCCAGGAUCCGAACCAACAAAACACUGGGCCGCCUGCAGCGGAGUGCGUGAACUUAACCACUUGGCCACGGGGCCAGCCCCAAGUUGCAGGUCCUCCUAGUUGUGGGAUGUGGGAUACCGCCUCAACGUGGCCUGACAAGCGGCGCCAUGUCCGUGCCCAGGAUCCGAACCCUGGGCCGCCGCAGCAGAGCGUGCAAACUUAACCACUCGGCCACGGAGCCGGCCCCUGGAGGUGGUUUUAAUUGUGUGUGAUGACGAACUGUGGCCUCUACCCUUACAACAGAGGAAAAAGUAAUCAGGAAGGAGCGGGUGCUUAAAGAUUAGAGUGCACUGUGGAGCUGCUUGGAUCCUCCUCAGAGUGACUCUCCAUCUGGAGUUUGUGUGUCAGUAUCUUCUGUAUCAGAAGAGAAUGACCUUUUUCUCUGCACGGUAAAUUUCAUGGUGGGAUCGUGGAAUCAAAAUGGGAGAUGUUUAAGGGUCCUCAGAAGUCAUUUAGCACAAACCCUUCACUCACAGAUGAAGAGAUUGCCAGAAGUUGGUUUUGGCCAAGUUUACUGGAUUAUUUAUUGAAUCUCUGGUCCAGAAUUUAAUGUUCUUUGAUACUGGCCCUCUCCUCUGGAACAUUCUCUCUUACAAGGUCAUGAACAGAG